rnacentral:rRNA from 1 species
AUGGUGUCAGAACAUACGAUGCUUCAAAAGAAUGGUUGUACCACCUCUGGUGAAGGAGCUUGUCCUGAAUGUCAUUCUAACACAUGUUCUCUUAGGCUGAAUAAUGGUAGCAAGACAUGCUACAUGGGGCAUCGCAGGUUCUUACAUGAAGACCAUCCCUUUAGGUCCAAUACCCAUUCUUUUGAUGGCAUUGCUGAGCAUAGGCCAGUGCCAAUUCCUCUCUCUGGAUCAGAAAUUGUUACUCAGACGGAAGAUAUGCAUACAGUUUUUGGGAAGGAUCCUUCCGAGAAGAAGAAAACCAAGAGAAAGCGCAAUGAUGAUGAGCCGUUAAUAGUUUGGAAAAGGAAGUCUAUUUUUUCAGGCUACCAUAUUGGGAGAGCUUGUUGCUGCGUCACAACUUAG